AUGAUGACCGCUCCUUCAUCAAGUCUAUGGACGGCAAAGCUAUUUCCUCCUCAGGUGUACAAACUGCUUACCUUCACAGGCGAGCGUUGUCCUGUACAGGAGUCUAUCUGGCAGGCCGCCGUGCCGCCCGGAGUGCGGCUGUUCGGGUGGCUUGUGGCCCCGGACCGCGUCCACUCAAAGGCGAACCUGCUCAGGAAACAUAUCCGGCAUGAGGACAGCUGCGAGCUCUGCAGCAGGUCCUCUGAAACAACGGAUGUCGGGAUCUUGGAGGUCCGGCCGCCUGCCCUUGCACUGGGACACAGUGCGCCUGCUGCUCCUGUGGACCAUCUGGAAUCAUCGCCACGGCGUCGUUUUCCGUGGGAACAGGCCGGCGAUCAGCAGUUCUGCUACUGCUGA
rnacentral:rRNA from 1 species